CUCUAUGCACCAUAUCGACUGGAUAAAUACAAGAACACUAGAACCCACAAUGUAAAAGGAUUUCAACAUUCAAAGGAAUCAACUUCAAGAAAUAACAUGGUGAAGUGGCUGAUCGUCGGUCUGCUUGUAAAUAUGAGUGUCUCCUCCUGGACUGUCCCCUUCACGUCGAGGUGUGAAGCUGCAGCUGUAACCUGAAACCUCUCUGUACCAUCUGUCCCUCACAUUCCAAUGCAUUCAAUGUAGAUAUGUUUAGCUUUAUGCCUCAAUGAGUGAAUUUAACAAAGCAUACAUUGUUUAAGUCUUCAUCUUAUAACUAGUACACUUUAAUUACAACAAGUCAUUAAUGAUCACCGUUCAUCACACUUCAUCAUAAGAUCUAAAACAGUUCAUGUGGUUCAAUUCUCAAGACAUUUUCCUCAGUCGGCUGCGUUACAUUAAGUUGUUCAUUUUAUUACCUGACAGGAGAAAAAACUCCCAAAAAACCCUCUUUGGGGAUAAAAUUGGGAGAAAUCCAUAAAGGACGGCAAUUGGCAUCAGUCCCCAGGUUUUAACAUCACAUUGUGACAGAAUGUUAAUGUGUACAGUGUUUAUAUGAUUUAAAUGACUAUGAAUUGUGUUUGAUUGAAAUUGCAUUCACUUCAUCUAACAUGUAAAUGUAAUAACUAUUAUCUAACAUCACACAAACUAUAAUUCUAACACUAAACAUUAUUACACGUACUAUAAUUUCCUGACUAGGGGUGCACUGGCUUAAAUCCCUGACAUUAACUCUUAAUUCAACAUAUUUGUUCAGGCAGUGAGAGGACAGGCAAUGAUGCAGAGAGCACAGGGAGAGAAACACCAGGCCCAAUAGAGAGAGAAG
ensembl:lncRNA